UACGAAGGGGGCUAGCGUUGCUCGGAAUCACUGGGCGUAAAGGGUGCGUAGGCGGGUCUUUAAGUCAGGGGUGAAAGCCUAGAGCUCAACUCUGGAAUUGCCUUUGAGACUGAGUGGCUUGAGUACGGGAGAGGUGAGUGGAAUUCCCAGUGUAGAGGUGAAAUUCGUAGAUAUUGGGAAGAACACCGGUGGCGAAGGCGGCUCACUGGCCCGUAACUGACGCUCAUGCACGACAGCGUGGGGAUCAAACAGG
rnacentral:rRNA from 1 species